AUGACUUAUCGGAUGACAGCACAACUUCAUGCCACAGAAAGAAGAGGAUGCCCUUUAAAGCACAAAAAAGUGGACCAACAUCUGCAUGGUCUUCUCCAGGUAGGAGAGAGCAGAUGGUUUAAGCCUUUGCCAGGAGGCCUCAUUCACACGCUGGAUUUUAAGGCAUCGUGGUGCUUGUGAGGUGCUUGGUGAGUCUCAGUCAAAUGCUUCUUUGUAAGGCGUGGUAUGAAGGGGUCACUUAGAAGGUGAGCAAGACAUUAAAUGCUCCAUUUCCUCACUGUGAGGUAACACUCUGCAGUCAAACCAGGUGAGCUGAAAUAACUGGAUAUGCUUCUCCACAGAGCUAAUGCAUUUUUAUCAAACACUUCCUCAACAAUUCUUAUUCCCUUUCUGGAGCUUUCAUUGCUGCUGCCAAUUAUAGGAGAAUUGAGACAGUCAAAACACCUCCAAAAAAGAAAAUGGCAAAAAGAAAUUUUAUGUUGUCUACAAAAGAGAUACUAUAUUUUGUUAUUUUUGAUCCACCAUCUGGGCUUCCAUGAAGUAGAGAUUUGAAGCUUAGUAUAAUAAAGAAAUAACAUAGAUGAUGGGGUUUUGGU
ensembl:lncRNA novel transcript